rnacentral:rRNA from 1 species
GACGAACGCUGGCGGCGUGCUUAACACAUGCAAGUCGAACGGAAAGGCCCUGUUUGUGUUGGAUGCGCGGCGGGCGGACGGGUAAGACACACGUGAGUAGCCCGCCCUUGAGGUUGAAAGAACGGAAACUGACUGUAACUAUUACCGUGUACUCCCGCCUCCUGCAGGGGGUGGGAAGGCUCGUUCGGGCGGUGGGGGAUGCACUGCCGGCUUACCUGCUGGUUGGGGGGGGAGUGGCUUACGAAGGCGUUGACGGGUGGCCGGCCUGGGUGGGUGGCCGGCCACAUUGGGACUGGGAUACGGCCCAGACUCCUACGGGAGGCAGAAGUGGGGAUUAUUGCACAAGGGGGGGAAGCCGGAUGAAGCAACGCCGGGUGGGGGAUGACGGCCUUCGGGUGGUAAACCGCUUUCGCAGGGGCCGAAGUGUGAGUGACGGUAAUGGGUAAAGAAGCACCGGCUAACUACGUG